rnacentral:sRNA from 1 species
UCUCCCAUCCGAGUACUAACCAGGCCCGACCCUGCUUAGUUUCUGAGAUCAAACGAGAUUGGGCGCAUUCAGUGUGGUAUGGCCAUAGAC